AUGCUACUGAAGUCACACUCUCAUGUUGAGAAAGGUAAGAUUAAGAAACUGAAUGGUGUGAAAACCAAAGAGCUUUUCAUUUGGAUCACACUAAGUGAUAUUUAUGUUGAUGAUCCACCAACUGGGAAAGUCACUUUCCAAACUCCUGCUGGACUUUCUAGAACUUUCCCAGUUUCUGCUUUUGAAGUUGAAGAGAAAUCAAGUGGUGUGAAAGAGAUUAACAAAGUCAAUGGAACUGUUGGUGGUGUUAAAGAGGUCUAG